CCCUCCACCGCGCGCCGCCCCUCUCCUUCCCCGCGCUGGCUACCUCCCUGCCCCUCGCGCCGAACGCCUCUCUCCACCGUGCGCCACCCUCCUCCUUCCCCCGCGCCGGCCACCUCCCUCUCCCGCGCGCCGGAGGCCGCCUCCUUUCCCCGACCCUCCGGACGCCGCCUCCUUCCCAGAUCCCGGCACCGCCCUGCAACACAACCGGCGCCACGGCUGUUGCCCCGCACCAUAUUCAUGCGCUGCUACCGCUCUACCACCGUGUACAGGCAGUUCAACGCUCCAACCACACGCCGUUCAAUCUCUCCAGCGUGGACACGCCAUUCCACCUCCUUCUAGUUGCCUCUCAUCCCGGUAUGGCCAGGGCGUUGGGUUCGCCGCCGCUGCGACCAGCAGUCCAACCCGGCCGCCCCAGGCCGUUCACCGUCGCAGCUCCCAGGCCGACUGUGUCGAGCCACCUUCCGCCCGCACCUUGGGCUCCCGUAUGCGUCCCCUGCCCAAGCUGGUGCACACGUCCCUGCCCACCGUCCCUCCUCUUUGUUCUUCACUACAUAAGGUUUUUUUGAGUGCACGCCAUGUGUUUGCUAAAAUGCCUCAGUGCACUCGCCUACUAGUUUUGAUGUGUUCAUGUUCGUUUGUAGCUAAUGUAAAAUCAGCUUUCUCUUGAGGCAGGGACAAAGAAGUGAGCCAAAAAGAUGAAUGACAGUUUGUUCACAAGGUCAUCUGCUCAACAAGAGAAGCAUGUACUGCUCAGUACAUGUAUAACUAAUGGGAAGGUUCAAAAACCAGAACUCAUCAAGUUCAACGUUGAUGGUACUGUGCACAUGCAAAAUUAGAUCAAUAGUAUUGUUGAACAAUUCCUACUCCUCAACUCCAGCGUCCUCCCUCCAUCCCGCACUGCCGCCUCGCCACCUCGCUCAACCUUGCCAACGUCCUACCAUCCCUGGUAUGUCCCUGGCCACCCUCACGCCACCAUAGCGCUCAGGCCGUUCACCGCCGGCACCAUAGUACGUUCACUGCCGAUACCCGAGGUUGUUCAACGACGCAACGACGAAGUCUGGCCUUCCCCCUUACCCUUUUCAUGUAGCAUAUUCUGCAAAAAUAUCAGACGCUCUCAACUGAAUGGAAAGUGUGUCCCACAACUGCAGGUAUAACCACUGCAGGAGUUUGAAAAUCUCAACAAAUAAAGCUCAAACCAAAGUUCAAGAACUGCUUCCUUCAUAAAUUAGUUUUCUUUUGGUUAAUUCGUUGUUCUAGACAGUACAGAUGUACAUUAUUGUCUAGUACAUGUGCGUAUUGUAUAUAUUGGUUAAUAAGAUAUAACAAAAAGUUCAUAAAAAACCCAGAACACAUGGUAGUUCUGGAAUCUGGGAGUUCAGGAAAAAAUGAUCCAAAAAUGAGCAUUGGGAGGGUUUGAAAAAUACAUCAUCAGCAAGGAUUUAUUGUACGCUCACUAGUUCGGUUAUAACUACAAAAGUUGAUCUCUGUCUUGAUCUCUGUACUUAUUCAUCCUGUCACUCGAUCGUUCUAUGGUUGUUAUGAUGUGACUUAACAUACAAUCACUUUUGGCGUUCUUCCAUAAACAAUGAAGGGAAUGCUAAAAGGAGGGUAUGUUUUCCAAGCUGACAUCUGCAAGCCCUCAUUAGGACAAGCAAAGUGCAGAAAUAAGUUCUGACCCUGAAAACUGCAGAGUUGGACUUCCUCGUAUUCAAGUGCUCGCAACUAAGCUUCACUUCUGGUUUGUUUGAAUUAACUGGUCCAGACGUCUCAAGCUGCUAAGGCCUACAUCUCCCUGCCAAUGUCUCAUCGCCUGUGCCGACAUGGUCGUGGUAAGUUCGUUGGCGUAGUUCCUAUGCUUUGAUGAGGUCAAGCCCACUGUCGUAUUAGUCGCCACAACCUCAUAUCGUUGCCGCCAAGGUUUCCCCUCGCUCUCUCCCCUGAAUUCUCUUGAAGAACAUCCAUUUAUCUCGCUGAAUUCUUGAUAGCAUGUUCUAAAUAAGCUUGUAUUCACUCCCUAAGUACUCCUAAAAAGCACUUUUAUUCUAAUUAUACGAAUUUUAUACUUAUGGGAUGUUCAAAUAAACCAGUACACACGUGUGGUGCCGUCUAUAUAAUUAUGUAAAGAAGAUCUAUAUGUGUAAGUUAUCUGAUAAAAGAAAGAGGAAAAUCAACUUGCAAAUUUAGGGAAACAUGUGUACCUUGAGAAAAGUUCACAGAAUAAAUGCUAGGAGGGUCAUUUUGUGUUUGUUUAAAUGUCUUCAGUGCAAGUGUGGAGGGCCGGUAAGUUCUACUACCAGUCUAAGCCAAGUUCAGGAGCAUUGCCACUGAUGGCAAGGACAACGAACCAACGACAUCGGAUCAUAGGUCGAAGGAGUCUGGGUCAAGGCGCCAUGACUGGUUAUUGUUGUAUGCUGGUGUCGUGCUUGUUGAUGCGGACUAGCAGAUCAAUGUAUAUGCAUGUUGUUUGCUUUUGACAUGGUAUAUAUAAACUAUUGGUACAAAUUCUAGUACCUAUAUCACAAAAGUUCAUUGCGAAAAAAAAUAUCAGUUCAAUGGAUACAUUGUAUCUGUUUAUCACAUAUACUUGCGAAAGAGUUCAAAAUGUUCUUCCCUUUCUGGAAAUUACAUGUGAUUAUUCAUUUCUUUUUGGGCCAUACAAACAACAAUAACUCAUUAGGCUUGUAUGGCUGAAUUUCUAUUCAUUUGCUCGUAUGACUGGAAUGCAUCUUUGCUUGUAUUAUCUCUUGUAACACUAAGAUUUUUUUAUGUUGUCAUGUCUUUAGGAGCGCCCCGGCCGAUCACAGCCACCACCACAGGCCGUUCAACGCCACCUCCGAGGAAAACCAUAUCCAAAAAACAGAGUAAAGUCCAAUAUGUGAAAAUAGCUCAGUACAAACACACAAAUGGAUCAGUACGAGUACUCUGUUUUUCGUCGAAAUACUAUUGUUUGAACUGAAUCAUCUGAAUUGAAGCACAGUGGCAUCAAAACCAAAUAAUUUCCAUAUCAAGGUUCAGUGUGGAUUUUACACUUAUGAAAUGAUUUUCACCCUAACAAACUAGCUUCAAACAACCUUUUAGCAUAAUGUCGUGCCUGUUGAACACCUACUGAUUUGAUUCAGCAACUUCUACUGAUGUCUAUAAUCGUACAACAGUUUGGAUUCCUAACUGAAACAGAUUAGCAGCAAAAGUUUCAGCAAACAAUCUGUUUUUUAGAUUGCUAAAAAGAAACCCAAAACAUCCGGACAAGUUGACUACUACAAAUAAGAGUUUCUUGCCAAAGGGAAGAGUUAGGAAGUGGAGGGGCUCUCACGAGGUGUCCCGGCGGCGACGACGAUGACGUGGAGGCUCUGGCUAUUGUUGGGCAGCAUUAACAUUUUGAUAGUCCUUCUGCAGGGCCCAAACCCACUAUCGUGCAGAAAAAGAAAGCAAAGCCCCAACCAUCAGCUGCUCAAUCAUCAGGGUCUGAUGGCCGAUGGAGAAGCGAAGCGAAAGACGGUUAGGAAGCGCAAGAGAAGUGGCAAAGACAUCAGGUCCAUGUGUAUUUAACAGCAAGUCCAUGUAUUACUACAUGAGAAGUACUGCUAUUCCCUCACUGGAUUUGCAGGCUCACGACCAUCCUCUAACACCCCGUCAGUGCCACCUAUUUGAAGGAGCUCCGUGAGCGUGUACUUCUCCUGAUGCAGAGGCCGGGGUUUUUCCUCCUUAUCUAAAAAAAAUGUGCUGCUCCACUCGUAGCUCCCAGCCUACCCUCGAGCAAGUUCGUGCCGUGCACGAGAUCAGUUCAACCUGUGCACUUGUUCGACCUCGACGCUUGUGGCAGUCCCACAAGGACGAGUGUGGUCUACGAUCGACCAGUUGGUUCCCAAGCGAGUUCCUGGCUGAAGGUGGGCUUCCAUGUUGAGGUGUGGAACGCAAUGUACAUGGAGAUCUUGAUGGAGUACGAUGAUGGCGAUGUGGCGCAGGUGGACCUCAUGGAGUUCGGCUGGGCUGGCGGCGGUGGACGCGGAUGCAUGAGUUGUGGGGCUCCAUCUGUCGCUCGACCACCGCUUACUCCCACUCUGUUCACUGGUUUUGUUUUCACUGUCACGCCUGUUCCUCGUCAACCUGCAGCAGCAGGAGACAUGAGAUCACCUCCGGCACCGCUGGUCACAUGAAGGCCGUCAAAAAUGAAGAUGGUGAACUAUGGGAGUACAUCAAGGUCGAAAAAGCCCUUCAUCUGCAUCCAUCUGCGGGAGGAACACUGCUUUGACAUCAGGAACAUUUUCCUCCACUAGAGCCACUGCGGCCUACGGCAGCCCAUGGUGGCGGAGUUCGUCGCGUCCAUCAGUCCAACCCCAUGGCUUCAGGGCAUCCGAGUUUUGUCGCGGCCAUCAGUUCGGACACCUGCGUCACUGCGUGUGUUGCAGCCACACCCAUUUGUGUCACUGCGUGCUCCGUCACCGGCCUCCUGCGCGCCGUGACCCCUGCCACACUCCUUCCUCUCCCUGAAGCUGUUCGUGCCCUCCCAGGCUUGAUAUCCUGCUGUAGCGAUGAGCUCCUGUACAUCGCCGAAGUUCCAUACCUGCUCAACGGCACCAGCACGAGGAUGCAGCAGCUAGGCUGAACCCCAGUUUGUGCCUCAAGGUCAAGUACGCGUACGCCUGCGAGAAGUGCAGGUUCUCCGGUGCGCCAAGUAUUGUUGGCAGCGAUGCCUGCUUACGUCUUCCUCGUAUGAUUCACCAAGGCCGCGUCCUCCUCUUGAGAUAAGAAGAGCGACAAGGAGAUGGAGAGCACGGUCUUUUUUCCGUGGAGCUGGCUGCUGCAGUACGGCCUAGUCCAGUCUAAGCCCUCCAUGGUUGCUGUUGCUAUUUCCGCAACCAGGCUACCCCGAAGAAGACCCCUAUGUGGACUGACAAUCUAAAUUAUAGUGUGUGUUCUUUAUUUAUAAUUGAAGUUCAAAAAUAUCAUUGGCAGGGGUACAGAAAUGAUUAUAGUCGUUAUAGCAAAAAAAAAGCGCAGAAACUUGAAGAACAAAAUUAUUGGUACACAUAAACAAAUUGGAUUUAUGUGUUAUGUAGUAUUGGUACUUAAGAACAAAAGUUCAGAUUUCAAACUUUCAAUAGUUUAAUGCUACGUAGAAAGGAACAUAAGUCCACCCUACAAAAAAACCCAGUAAAUGCAUUUCGGUUAUGAUCUAAAUUUCUUUUGGUCCAUCUCUUUUAGUCUCUAACAGAGAACUUCCGCUGAUAUUGUAAUAAUCGAUAGUUUUUUCAUCUUUAGCUCAUUAAGUGUUAAGAUUUCAAUGAAGUAAAAUGCUUCUAAGCUUUGGCCAUUUUGGUUAUUUUCAGGAUUUUCUAGAUCGGGGAAGGUGCGGAGCUUGCCUGAUUGCUUGCUACUUUGCAUGUUCUGUUUACCCACUAUGCAUGUGUUGAUGUUGCUGCUUCUAGGAGCCCUAAAUUUUGUACCACGCCGACAAGCCAGGCAGUCGGUCUUUGCAUCACGAACUGGUGCAGUUUGAUCUUGCGCAAGCGGGAAAUUCCCUGAUGCCGAGUGUAUCAGUACCACCCUACGCUCCAAGCAUGCCUCCUCCUGGUCGCCCAUCAGUUCUCUUGUUCUUGCUGCUUCUCCUAACAUCACCAUAAAAGUUUUGCUAGGAAAAAAAUGCGUGGAUAAAGAGGAUUGCAGUGACAGUAAUUUUGGUUGCCAUUUCUCUCUAUAGCAGAUCGCAUCCGUACAAAAAAUGCUACUGCAGUUUACUCUAUGUAAAAAAUUAAUAAGGUUCAAUUCACAAAAACAUGUGGAAGUUCGUUUGGAAAAUUCUGCAGCCUAUUUGAUUACGCCAAGAUGUACAGGAUGACAAUUCUUUAUUGUGUGCCUUCAGCACAAUUUAAAUUAACUAGUUGACCAUA